GGAUUGGGAGGGUUCUACGGAACCCGUUUGGUGAAUCUAGUGCCGAGAAAAGCCUUCUAUGUGUUGAGUUUCUAGUACCCGUACCCCAAACCGACACAGGUGGGUGGGUAGAGCAUACCUAGGGGCGCGUGAUAACUCUCUCUAAGGAACUCGGCAAAAUGGCCCUGUAACUUCGGGAUAAGGGGUGCCUGCGUGAGCAGGCCGCAGUGAAAUGGCUCUGGCGACUGUUUACCAAAAACACAGGUCUCUGCUAAGUCGUAAGACGAUGUAUAGGGGCUGACUCCUGCCCAGUGCCGGAAGGUUAAGGAAGUUGGUUAGCGCAAGCGAAGCUGGCGACCGAAGCCCCGGUGAACGGCGGCCGUAACAAUAACGGUCCUAAGGUAGCGAAAUUCCUUGUCGGGUAAGUUCCGACCCGCACGAAAGGAGUAACGAUCAGAGCGCUGUCUCGGAGAGAGACACGGCGAAAUAGGAUUGUCCGUGAAGAUACGGACUACCUGCACCCGGACAGAAAGACCCUAUGAAGCUUUACUGUAACUUGGAAUUGUGGUCGGACUUUGUCUGCGCAGAAUAGGUGGGAGGCUAUGAAACGUUCCUCGCGGGGAACUGGAGCCAUCGUUGAGAUACCACUCUGGCAGAGUCUGGAUUCUAACCUACGGGGACAGUUCCAGGUGGGCAGUUUGACUGGGGCGGUCGCCUCCUAAAAUGUAACGGAGGCGCGCAAAGGUUCCCUCAGGCUGGUUGGAAAUCAGCCAUAGAGUGUAAAAGCAAAGGGAGCUUGACUGUGAGACCUACAAGUCGAGCAGGGACGAAAGUCGGCUUUAGUGAUCCGACGGCACUGAGUGGAAGGGCCGUCGCUCAACGGAUAAAAGUUACUCUAGGAUAACAGGCUGAUCUCCCCCAAGAGUUCACAUCGACGGGGAGGUUUGGCACCUCGAUGUCGGCUCGUCGCAACCUGGGGCGGUAGUACGUCCCAAGGGUUGGGCUGUUCGCCCAUUAAAGCGGCACGUGAGCUGGGUUCAGAACGUCGUGAGACAGUUCGGUCCAUAUCCGGUGUAGGCGUAGGAGCAUUGAAAGGAUCUCUCCUUAGUACGAGAGGACCGGGAGGGACGUACCUCUGGUGUACCUGUUAUCGUGCCAACGGUAAACGCAGGGUAGCCAUGUACGGAGUGGAUAACCGCUGAAAGCAUCUAAGUGGGAAGCCCACCUUAAGAUGAGUGCUCCCUUGAGGCCACGGGAAGACGACCCGUUUGAUAGGCGCUAGGUGGAAGUGCAGUAAUGCAUGCAGCCGAGGCGUACUAAUAGGCCGAUGGCUUGU
rnacentral:rRNA from 1 species